AAUGAACGCUGGCGGCGCGCCUAAUACAUGCAAGUCGAGCGAGAAGACGUAGCAAUACGUUUGUAAAGCGGCGAACGGGUGAGGAAUACAUGGGUAACCUACCCUUGAGUGGGGAAUAACUAGCCGAAAGGUUAGCUAAUACCGCGUACGCUUCCUGGACUUCGGUUCAGGGAGGAAAGCGAUGCCGAGGGUAUCGCGCUCUUGGAUGGGCUCAUGUCCUAUCAGCUUGUUGGGAGGUAC
rnacentral:rRNA from 1 species